UACAGAGGGGGCAAGCGUUGUUCGGAAUUACUGGGCGUAAAGGGCGCGUAGGCGGCCUUCUAAGUCGAACGUGAAAUCCCCGGGCUCAACCCGGGAACUGCGUCUGAUACUGGGUGGCUUGAAUCCGGGAGAGGGAUGCGGAAUUCCAGGUGUAGCGGUGAAAUGCGUAGAUAUCAGGAGGAACACCGGUGGCGAAGGCGGGUCUCUGGGCAAUAACUGACGCUGAGGAGCGAAAGCGUGGGGAGCGAACGG
rnacentral:rRNA from 1 species